rnacentral:rRNA from 1 species
UUACGGGAGGCAGCAGUGGGGAAUAUUGGACAAUGGGCGAAAGCCUGAUCCAGCCAUGCCGCGUGUGUGAAGAAGGUCUUCGGAUUGUAAAGCACUUUAAGUUGGGAGGAAGGGCAGUAACCUAAUACGUUAUUGUUUUGACGUUACCGACAGAAUAAGCACCGGCUAACUUCGUGCCAGCAGCCGCGGUAAUA